rnacentral:piRNA from 1 species
UUCGAGAACUGCGGCAACAACGAGAU